rnacentral:ncRNA from 2 species
GCGUCACCCCCUGGAGAGAGCCGCGCCCCGAGCGCGGCCACCGAAGGAGCAAACGCUCAAGGCCGUUGUGGCAGGCGUGAAUCUCUCAGGUAAAGCGGACAGGUGGGCAGUA